GUGCUGGCUUUGGCAGGACAUGCACUAAAACUGGAACUACACGGAGGUUAGUAUGGCCACUGCACAAGGAUAACACACAAAUUCGUGAAGUACCGCAUGUUAAA